rnacentral:misc_RNA from 1 species
UUUCCGUAGGUGAACCUGCGGAAGGAUCAUUAAAGAGUAAGGGUCUUCGGGCCCGAUCUCCAACCCUUUGUUUAACUACCAUGUUGCUUUGGCGGGCCCGUCUCACGACCGCCGGAAGUUUGGCUUCGACCAAACUUCUGGCCCGUGCCCGUCAGUGGCCCCUUCAAAUUCUUGAUCAAGUAUGAUGUCUUAGUCGAAAACUUAAUAGUUAAAACUUUCAACAACGGAUCUCUUGGUUCUG